UACGAAGGGUGCAAGCGUUACUCGGAAUCACUGGGCGUAAAGGGCGCGUAGGCGGCCACCGCAAGUCGACUGUGAAAUCUCCGGGCUUAACCUGGAAAGGUCAGCCGAUACUGCGGGGCUAGAGUGCAGAAGGGGCAACUGGAAUUCUCGGUGUAGCGGUGAAAUGCGUAGAUAUCGAGAGGAACACCUGCGGCGAAGGCGGGUUGCUGGGCUGACACUGACGCUGAGGCGCGAAAGCUAGGGGAGCGAACGGG
rnacentral:rRNA from 1 species